rnacentral:rRNA from 1 species
CACAUGCAAGUCGAACGGUGAAGAGAGAGCUUGCUUUCUUGGAUCAGUGGCGAACGGGUGAGUAACACGUGAGUAACCUGCCCCAGACUCUGGGAUAAGCACUGGAAACGGUGUCUAAUACCGGAUACGAGCUUCAGCCGCAUGGCUAGGAGUUGGAAAGAAUUUCGGUCUGGGAUGGACUCGCGGCCUAUCAGCUAGUUGGUGAGGUAAUGGCUCACCAAGGCGACGACGGGUAGCCGGCCUGAGAGGGUGACCGGCCACACUGGGACUGAGACACGGCCCAGACUCCUACGGGAGGCAGCAGUGGGGAAUAUUGCACAAUGGGCGCAAGCCUGAUGCAGCAACGCCGCGUGAGGGACGACGGCCUUCGGGUUGUAAACCUCUUUUAGUAGGGAAGAAGCGAAAGUGACGGUACCUGCAGAAAAAGCACCGGCUAACUACGUGCCAGCAGCCGCGGUAAUACGUAGGGUGCAAGCGUUAUCCGGAAUUAUUGGGCGUAAAGAGCUCGUAGGCGGUUUGUCGCGUCUGCUGUGAAAACUGGAGGCUCAACCUCCAGCCUGCAGUGGGUACGGGCAGACUAGAGUGCGGUAGGGGAGAUUGGAAUCCUGGUGUAGCGGUGGAAUGCCAGAUAUCAGGAGGAACACCGAUGGCGAAGGCAGAUCUCUGGGCCGUAACUGACGCUUAAGAGCGAAAGCAUGGGGACGAACAGGAUUAGAUACCUGGUAGUCAUGCCGUAAAC